rnacentral:rRNA from 1 species
UACAGGGGGUGCAAACGUUGCUCGGAAUCAUUGGGCGUAAAGCGCACGUAGGCGGUCUGUUAUGUCGGAUGUGAAAGCCCUUGGCUUAACUGAGGAAGUGCAUCCGAAACUGGCAGGCUAGAGUACUAAAGAGGGUCGGCGGAAUUCCCGGUGUAGAGGUGAAAUUCGUAGAUAUCGGGAGGAACACCGGUGGCGAAGGCGGCGACCUGGGUAGAUACUGACGCUGAGGUGCGAAAGCGGUGGG